AUACGGAGGAUCCGAGCGUUAUCCGGAUUUAUUGGGUUUAAAGGGUGCGCAGGCGGCCAUUUAAGUCAGCGGUUAAAUCGUGGGGCUCAACCCCAUUCUGCCGUUGAUACUGGGUGGCUUGAUUGCGGUCGAGGUUGGUGGAAUUCGUUGUGUAGCGGUGAAAUGCAUAGAUAUGACGAAGAACACCGAUUGCGUAGGCAGCUGACCAGACCGCAAAUGACGCUCAUGCACGAAAGUGCGGGGAUCGAACAGGAUUAGAUACCCUGGUAGUCCGCACAGUAAACGAUGAAUACUUGUUUUCGGCGAUAUAAUGUCGGAGGCAAAGCGAAAGCGAUAAGUAUUCCACCUGGGGAGUACGCCGGCAACGGUGAAACUCAAAUGAAUUGACGGGG
rnacentral:rRNA from 1 species